CGAAAGUCGGGCUAAUACCGCAAUGUGAUCCUUCGGGAUUAAAGCCUUCGGGCGCUAAAGGAGGGGCCUGCGUCUGAUUAGCUUGUUGGUAAGGUAAUGGCUUACCAAGGCGAUGAUCAGUAGCUGGUUCGAGAGGAUGAUCAGCCACACUGGAACUGAGAUACGGUCCAGACUCCUACGGGAGGCAGCAGUAAGGAAUCUUCCGCAAUGGACGAAAGUCUGACGGAGCAACGCGCGUGCAGGAUGAAGGCUUUCGGGUCGUAAACUGCUUUGUAUGGGAAGAUUAUGACGGUACCAUACGAAUAAGGACCGGCUAACUACGUG
rnacentral:rRNA from 1 species